rnacentral:rRNA from 1 species
AACGAACGCUGGCGGCAUGCCUAACACAUGCAAGUCGAACGCGUGGAGCGAUCUGCGCGUGGCGCACGGGUGAGUAACGCGUGGGAACCUGCCCUUGGGUGCGGGAUAACCCGGCGAAAGCCGGGCUAAUACCGCCUACGCCCUGCGGGGGAAAGAUUUAUCGCCCAAGGAGGGGCCCGCGUCGGAUUAGCUAGUUGGUGAGGUAAUGGCUCACCAAGGCGAUGAUCCGUAGCUGGUCUGAGAGGAUGAUCAGCCACACUGGGACUGAGACACGGCCCAGACUCCUACGGGAGGCAGCAGUGGGGAAUAUUGGACAAUGGGGGCAACCCUGAUCCAGCAAUGCCGCGUGGGUGAUGAAGGCCUUCGGGUUGUAAAGCCCUUUCGGCGGGGACGAUGAUGACGGUACCCGUAGAAGAAGCCCCGGCUAACUUCGUGCCAGCCGCCGCGGUAAAAC